GGAUGUUAGGGCGAUCUGGCUGCGACAUCUGUUACUCCACUGAUCUCCGGGGUUGAUUCUGCUUAUCUGGCUGGCUAGGCAGGCAUCCCCUUCCUCCCUCACCGCUCAUUGCAUGUCCCUCCUCUAACUGAGCAGUAGCUUGAAGAUUACCUUUCCAGAUGGAGGAGGACUGUUCAGUCAAGGGUGUAGGAGUAGCUGCUGUCCUCUGCUAGAACCUCUAAACAAGCUCUCAAUAUGAGAAUUUUACUUUAUUCUGAUAUCUUAAGCAUUACAUGAUAUUAAAGUAGUACAGAAUAAUAUUAAAGUCUAAGAUUUGAAUAAAAUU
rfam:Ailuropoda melanoleuca scaffold167_141, whole genome shotgun sequence.